UACGGAGGAUCCAAGCGUUAUCCGGAAUCAUUGGGUUUAAAGGGUCCGUAGGCGGUUUUGUAAGUCAGUGGUGAAAGCCCAUCGCUCAACGGUGGAACGGCCAUUGAUACUGCAAGACUUGAAUUAUUGGGAAGUAACUAGAAUAUGUAGUGUAGCGGUGAAAUGCUUAGAGAUUACAUGGAAUACCAAUUGCGAAGGCAGGUUACUACCAAUAUAUUGACGCUGAUGGACGAAAGCGUGGGGAGCGAACAGG
rnacentral:rRNA from 2 species